rnacentral:tRNA from 1 species
GCCCCGUUAGCUCAGUUGGUAGAGCAGUGGCCUCUUAAGCCAACGGUCGUAGGUUCGAAUCCUACACGGGGCA